rnacentral:tRNA from 6 species
GGAAGCGUGGCCGAGUGGUUUAAGGCAGCGGUCUUGAAAACCGCCGACGGGCAACUGUCCUAGAGUUCGAAUCUCUACGCUUCCGCCA